GGAAGGGUGGUAUUUAUUAGACUGAAGCCAAUAUUCCUUGUGUCUAUUGCGGUGAUCCAUAAUAACUGAUCGAAUCUCUUUUUGAGAUAAAUCAUUCAAGUUUCUGCCCUAUCAGCUUUCGAUGGUAGUGUAUUGGACUACCAUGGCAGUAACGGGUAACGAAGAAUUAGGGUUCGAUUUCGGAGAGGGAGCAUGAGAAACGGCUACCACAUCUAAGGAAGGCAGCAGGCGCGUAAAUUACCCAAUCCUGACUCAGGGAGGUAGUGACAAGAAAUAGCAAACCGGGAACCUCAUGGUUUCACGGUAUUGCAAUGAGAACAAUUUAAAACCCUUAGCGAGAUUCAAGUGGAGGACAAGUCUGGUGCCAGCACCCGCGGUAAUUCCAGCUCCACUAGCGUAUAUUAAAGUUGUUGCAGUUAAAAAGCUCGUAGUUGAACCUCUGUCUGGGGCUAGUUUUGGCUUUGGUCGGGCUAGUUCUAGGCAUCCGCCUACAAGACUUAGAGGGCAUUCAGUUGUUCACUAGGAGGAGUAGGCAUUUUACUUUGAAAAAAUUAGAGUGUUUAAGGCAGGCAAUCGCCCGCAUAUAUUAGCAUGGAAUAAUAGAAUAGGACACUUUUCCAUUUCGUUGGUUAUUGGAAUCGUGUAAUGAUUAAUAGGGACAGUUGUGGGCAUUUGUAUUUAAUUGCCAGAGGUGAAAUUCUUGGAUUUAUUAAAGACAAACUAACGCGAAAGCAUUUGCCAAGGAUGUUUUCAUUAAUCAAGAACGAAAGUUAGGGGAUCAAAGACGAUCAGAUACCGUCCUAGUCUUAACUAUAAACUAUUCCGACUCAAUGUUUGACUGGCUUAUAUAACCAGUUGAGCGUUGUAUGAGAAAUCAAAGUCUUUAGGUUCUGGGGGGAGUAUGGUUGCAAAGCUGAAACUUAAAGGAAUUGACGGAAGAGCACAACCAGGAGUGGAUUCUGCGGCUUAAUCUGACUCAACACGGGGAAACUUACCAGGUUAAAACAAUAGUGGGAUUGACAGUUUGAGAGCGCUUUCUUGAUUGGUUGGGUGGUGGUGCAUGGCCGUUCUUAGUUGGUGGAGUGAUUUGUCUGCUUAAUUGCGUUAACGAACGAGACCUUAACCUGCUUACUAGACUGGCGAUCAUCAAUCGUUAGCUCUUCUUAGAGGGACUUUGGUUGUUUUAACUCCAAGGAAGUUUGAGGCAAUAACAGGUCUGUGAUGCCCUUAGAUAUCCUGGGCCGCACGCGUCAUACAAUGACUAGUUCAGAAAGUUUUCUCCUGACCCGAAAGGGGAUGGGUAACCUUGAUAAUACUAGUCGUGUUAGGGAUCGAUCUUUGCAAUUAUAGAUCUUGAACGAGGAAUUCCU
rnacentral:rRNA from 1 species